GGAAGGGGAAGUAUGUAGAAAACUACUUGAGGGAAUGGUUACAUCUUGUUAGUUGAAUUUUUAAAAAUUGACUGGUCUUUAUGUAGGGAUGUAGCGCUUAAAUCUAUUUGCAAAGAGGCAAUGGCUAGUCCUUUGUUGGUUACAUCUUCUUGUUAGUUGAAUUUUAAAAAAUUGACUGGUCUUUAUGUAGGGAGGCAGCGCUUAAAUCUAUUUGCACGUUAACUCAGCUAAUCUACUUGCACCUUUACGUAGUUAUGCCAUGAUUUAAACUGCCUAAUCAUACUUAUUUACCUUGUCCUAUAAUUUUAUUAAACUUAUUUAAAACUUUUCAGUUCAAACUGAAUAACUU
rnacentral:lncRNA from 1 species